UCCAUUUUGAUUCGUUCUCGCUGGUUGACAUCCAACUGGGUGAAAUAUGAGUCGGAAUGUGCCAUCCAGAGCCGAUUGGAGUACUAUCCUAGUUGAAGAUGAAGAGUCUGACCAGCCGAUUGGACCUGUGGUUGACCAGCAGCCCAGUGAUGAAAAACCUAAACAAGAGGAGGCACCCCCUGAGAAUCUGGAUGUUACACCUGAGGAAGAGGAAGCAGAUGCAGGAGCACCUGAGCUUCCAGGGACUGACCUGGAAGCUGAUACCCAAGAAAUGGUGAUACUAAUGACUAAGGGUGAACGUGGAGAUAAUCCUGAAGUCAUUGGGCAACCUUAUGCAAAUCCAGAGCCCAUUGGAAUGCUGGAAGCAGGAGAAGGGAAACCACCCGUUUAAGGGAAGAUGAUCUGAAGACACACAGAUUAUUCUUUUUUUUUUUUUCACACAGAUUGUUCUUAAGUUGGAUACUAUAGUGUUAAAUAAAGUUCUCUCAAUAAAGUUUUGCAGCAUUUUCCAAGGAAUCUUGCAAAUCUUUCGUGAAGCAUAUUCCUAAACACUUGAUGCUAUU